rnacentral:tRNA from 1 species
GCCUCUAUGGCACAGGGGUAAUGCGUGUCACUCGUAACCAUCAAUGAUUGCGGUGUAAUGACAAGAUCCGCGGUUCGAUUCCGCGUGGAGGCA